UUUUCAUUUUAUUUUACAGAUGAACAUCAGAAAAAGGAUGAUGUUCCUGAAAAAAUAUUUGAAAUUCAAGAAAGAAAUGGUACGUACUCUAAAAAUCAUUAUUCACCAACCUCUUUAACAUAACAGACUCCUUGAUGUCUUAACAUUCCCAGAUUCUUAAUUUCUGUGCUUUUGCUGGUAUUUCCCUUCCCUUGAAU